CCCCACCUUACUAUAAAUUAAAUUUAUCCCUUCGAAUAACAGUAGCGAAGAUCAUAUGAAAUUUAAACAGCGAAGAGAAAGGAAAUUAUCAGCAAAAAGACAGUCGUUAAAAUUUGUAGCAAACUAAUUCAAAAAUGUUCUUUAAAAUAUUCGCGUUUUCCAGGUUUUGGUAUUACUGUCUAUAUUGGGGUGCAUUGCGCAUGCGCAGAACGUCGAUUUCACGGAUGAGUGGAUUACACAAAACCAUGUUAAUCAAGCGGACCCAACAAAUAGGUUUCUGCUUAACCACUGCCGAGUGAACGACGUAGACUCCGAAGUCGUGACCCCUGGUUUUCGUUGGUGGAAAGCUAGAUUCAGAUGCAGGAAUAUUAACGAGAAGUCAGACAUAUCUACAGUAAUUUGUGGUACCUGUCGACGUGGUUAUGAACUCAAGGUUGUCACUUGCAUUUCAAAGCUCACUUCACGACCAGGAUUUCCCCUCAUGACGUCAUCACAAACAAUGACGUCAUCACAAGAGGUGACGUCACCUCCUGUGAAGGUGCACAUACCGGUAGCGUGUUAUUGCAGUAAAAGACGCAAGAAUAGCAGAGCAACUGGGUUUAAACUGUCUUACCAAUAGUUUUCCACAUAUAAUCCAAACUGAUACCUGCCUAAAUUGAUCCUUUUCAUAAUUUAUUCCAUUUUUGUAGACUUUAUACCAUAAUUUAGUUCUGUGAGGUAAGAUGGGUCCCGUUAGCAGAUAUUGUUCAAUAUCUCAUAAUCCUGUUUUUAAAUUAUAAACGCUCUUUCAAAGUCGUGAGAAUACGUUACUUU